UACGUAGGGGGCAAGCGUUAUCCGGAUUCACUGGGUGUAAAGGGAGCGUUGACGGCCAGACAAGUCUGAAGUGAAAAUCCAGCGCUUAACGUUGGAAGUGCUUUGGAAACUGCCGGGCUAGAGUGCAGGAGGGGCAGGCGGAAUUCCUAGUGUAGCGGUGAAAUGCGUAGAUAUUAGGAGGAACACCAGUGGCGAAGGCGGCCUGCUGGACUGCAACUGACGUUGAGGCUCGAAGGCGUGGGGAGCAAACAGG
rnacentral:rRNA from 1 species